CGGCGAGAGCUGAUCGACAGCGGCGCCCCGGAUGCGCUGGGAGCGGAACCGGAGCCGUUGGGUUCGGUGCCCGACGCGCUGC
rnacentral:tRNA from 1 species